rnacentral:lncRNA from 10 species
UUUCGAACCCGCAAUGGAAGAAAGGGGAGGGGUUUAUGCGGGGCGGGGUCUGGAGUUAGUGUUUUGGGAGUGGGAGGUAGUUACAGUGAUGUCUGUUUUUUCCCGUUCAAGAAUUAAGUGUGUACCUGCAGACGUGUAUUCAUUCAUAUAUUCUUGCAGGCCCAGUAUAAUCACAAGGAUUCAUAAAACGGAAGAGGGAGACAGAAGAGAUGGUCAGAGUGAUAUGAAGUAAAAAGGAUUCAGCUUACUCUUGCUGGAUUUGUAAAUGCAGGAAGGGACCACGAGUCAAGGAAUGCAGGUAGCUUCUAGAAGCUAGAAAAGGUUCUGAAGAGGGUCACUCCCUCACUGGCUGCCAUUGAAAGAGUCCACUUCUCAGUGACUCCUAGCUGGGCACUGGAUGCAGUUGAGGAUUGCUGGUCAAUAUGAUUCUUCUUGCUGUGCUUUUUCUCUGCUUCAUUUCCUCAUAUUCAGCUUCUGUUAAAGGUCACACAACUGGUCUCUCAUUAAAUAAUGACCGGCUGUACAAGCUCACGUACUCCACUGAAGUUCUU